rnacentral:lncRNA from 1 species
UUCAAAGCCUAUCUAUAAAUAGCUAGAUUAAAUCAAGUCCGAUAACUCAUUUCUGUUAUGAUAAAAAUAGAAAAGGCGCUUUGUAAAUGAAAGCAAGUUUUUACUUAGGAAAAGAUGUUUAGAAUCAUGGUAAGACUUGGUUGCCUAAAGCCGAUUGGCAGAAUUUCUAUAAUAUUAUCUAUAGCAAGGUUGUCUUAAUAUUCUAUGCGUAUAGAAUCAGUUUUAGUCUAAAUAUUUGUGUAAUAAUGUUGGCCUACAGGUAGCCAUUGUUUUACUCGUGAACUGAAGCAAUAGAAACUGUACUGUUAUCAGCUGAUAUAAGAAAAUGAAUAUACUAUUUUAUUCCUUCAAUGUUUUAUCCUGAAUAGUUUCCCCUAUGACAGAUUAAAGAAUAUUAGUAAUUUCAUUCCAUGUUGAAAAUGAUUAUCUCCCCUUAUUUUUGUUUAAAUCAUCAGUUGUAAAUAAUUAAUCUAGUGUAUAUAGUGUGUAAUACAUUUUUAGUUAAAGAAACAUACUCAUAUCUAUGUUUUUCACAGAACACAAUAACUUAUCACCCUUUUAGCAGAAUUUAUACCUUGCAAGACACCCAUGCAUAAAAGUAUGAUUAUCUCCCCUUAAUUAGAAAUGUAUCAAUUGUCAAAUAAGUACUUAUCUUAUGAAUAGAAUUUUAACUACUUUACAAAUUAUAAAAUGUAGGUCCACUCUUAUCCGAAACUUAAUAAAGGAGCUAGUCCCUCCCUUAUUUAUUAUACAUGUAUUUAAAUCCAGAUUCUUUAUGAUUGACCCUUCAUGUUCAUAGGUUAUCUUUGCAAGGUGUGUCUUUUGUUUGUUUGUUGUAGAUAGUUUUUGUUUUUAGUAUAUUUUUAUAAUGAGGAAUGUUUAGUAUUUUAAAUAACC